UUUGCCGUCACCUUUUGUCUGCUUGUUUCUUUUCUGUUGCUGUAAACCUGUGUUACUGUCUGGUGGCUCCCCAGCCAAGGCUGUAAUUGUCUGUAUGUGAUAGGAGGAGGAGGGGAGAGAGUGGCAAGGGCAAAGGCAGGAGAAAUGAGCAAACAAGGGUGCUUGCAUUUGAAAUAACGGCUAACUGAAUGGCUUGCUAAACGUGACCCUGCAGCAGAUGAGAAGGCUACAAAAGGACUGAGCAGAUGUACACCGGGCACUUGGAGAGGCGUGAUUAUAAAUGAGUAGUGCGUGAGAGCAACUGAGCACAAGGAGGUGCUGAUAAUCAGCCACAGUGGCAGAAACUGCAAAUGAAAUGAUAUUCAGUUUUGUUGUAUGCCUCCCAUAGUCACUUGCUCGUGAGAUGGACAGCACUAUAAAUUAGGAAACAAUUCCUGCC